GGGUUGUGAGGUUAAGCGACUAAGCGUACACGGUGGAUGCCCUGGCAGUCAGAGGCGAUGAAGGGCGUGCUAAUCUGCGAUAAGCGCCGGUAAGGUGAUAUGAACCGUUAUAACCGGCGAUACCCGAAUGGGGAAACCCAGUGUGAUUCGUCACACUAUCAUUAACUGAAUCCAUAGGUUAAUGAGGCGAACCGGGGGAACUGAAACAUCUAAGUACCCCGAGGAAAAGAAAUCAACCGAGAUUCCCCCAGUAGCGGCGAGCGAACGGGGAGGAGCCCAGAGCCUGAAUCAGCAUGUGUGUUAGUGGAAGCGUCUGGAAAGGCGCGCGAUACAGGGUGACAGCCCCGUACACAAAAGCGCAUGUGCUGUGAGCUCGAUGAGUAGGGCGGGACACGUGGUAUCCUGUCUGAAUAUGGGGGGACCAUCCUCCAAGGCUAAAUACUCCUGACUGACCGAUAGUGAACCAGUACCGUGAGGGAAAGGCGAAAAGAACCCCGGCGAGGGGAGUGAAAAAGAACCUGAAACCGUGUACGUACAAGCAGUGGGAGCACAGGUUUACCGGUGUGACUGCGUACCUUUUGUAUAAUGGGUCAGCGACUUAUAUUCUGUAGCAAG
rnacentral:rRNA from 1 species